rnacentral:rRNA from 1 species
GGCGGNNUGCCUAACACAUGCAAGUCGAACGAGACCUUCGGGUCUAGUGGCGCACGGGUGCGUAACGCGUGGGAAUCUGCCCUUAGGUACGGAAUAACAGUUAGAAAUGACUGCUAAUACCGUAUAAUGACUCCGGUCCAAAGGAUUUAUCGCCUAAGGAUGAGCCCGCGUAGGAUUAGCUUGUUGGUGAGGUAAAAGCUCACCAAGGCGACNAUCCUUAGCUGGUCUGAGAGGAUGAUCAGCCACACUGGGACUGAGACACGGCCCAGACUCCUACGGGAGGCAGCAGUGGGGAAUAUUGGACAAUGGGCGAAAGCCUGAUCCAGCAAUGCCGCGUGAGUGAUGAAGGCCUUAGGGUUGUGAAGCUCUUUUACCCGGGAAGAUCAUGACUGUACCGGGAGAAUAAGCCCCGGCUAACUCCGUGCCAGCAGCCGCGGU